rnacentral:rRNA from 1 species
ACGGGAGGCAGCAGUGGGGAAUAUUGGGCAAUGGGCGAAAGCCUGACCCAGCAACGCCGCGUGAAGGAAGAAGGUCUUCGGAUUGUAAACUUCUUUUAUGAGGGACGAAGGACGUGACGGUACCUCAUGAAUAAGCCACGGCUAACUACGUGCCAGCAGCCGCGGUAAUACGUAGGUGGCGAGCGUUAUCCGGAUUUACUGGGUGUAAAGGGCGCGUAGGCGGGGAUGCAAGUCAGAUGUGAAAUCUAUGGGCUUAACUCAUAAACUGCAUUUGAAACUGUAUCUCUUGAGUGCUGGAGAGGUAAGCGGAAUUCCUAGUGUAGCGGUGAAAUGCGUAGAUAUUAGGAGGAACACCAGUGGCGAAGGCGGCUUGCUGGACGACAACUGACGUUGAGGCGCGAAAGCGUGGGGAGCAAACAGGAUUAGAUACCCUGGUA